CAUCAAUGCCGCGUGAGUGAAGAAGGCCUUCGGGUUGUAAAGCUCUUUUGUCAGGGAAGAAACAGCAGCUCUAACACAGCAUGCGAAUGACGGUACCUGAAGAAUAAGCACCGGCUAACUACGUGCCAGCAGCCGCGGUAAUACGUAGGGUGCAAGCGUUAAUCGGAAUUACUGGGCGUAAAGCGUGCGCAGGCGGUUAUACAAGACAGGUGUGAAAUCCCCGGGCUUAACCUGGGAAUGGCAUCUGUGACUGUAUAGCUAGAGUGUGUCAGAGGGGGGUAGAAUUCCACGUGUAGCAGUGAAAUGCGUAGAGAUGUGGAGGAAUACCAAUGGCGAAGGCAGCCCCCUGGGAUAACACUGACGCUCAUGCACGAAAGCGUGGGGAGCAAACAGGAUUAGAUACCCUGGUAGUCCACGCCCUAAACGAUGCUGACUAGUUGUUCGGGAAUUACUUCCUGAGUAACGUAGCUAACGCGUGAAGUCAGCCGCCUGGGGAGUACGGUCGCAAGAUUAAAACUCAAAGGAAUUGACGGGGACCCGGACAAGCGGUGGAUGAUGUGGAUUAAUUCGAUGCAACGCGAAAAAA
rnacentral:rRNA from 1 species